AGAGUUUGAUCCUGGCUCAGAGCGAACGCUGGCGGCAGGCUUAACACAUGCAAGUCGAACGGGCGUAGCAAUACGUCAGUGGCAGACGGGUGAGUAACGCGUGGGAACGUACCUUUUGGUUCGGAACAACUGAGGGAAACUUCAGCUAAUACCGAAUAAGCCCUUACGGGGAAAGAUUUAUCGCCGAAAGAUCGGCCCGCGUCUGAUUAGCUUGUUGGUGAGGUAACGGCUCACCAAGGCGACGAUCAGUAGCUGGUCUGAGAGGAUGAUCAGCCACAUUGGGACUGAGACACGGCCCAAACUCCUACGGGAGGCAGCAGUGGGGAAUAUUGGACAAUGGGCGAAAGCCUGAUCCAGCCAUGCCGCUUAAAUGAUGAAGGCCCUAGGGUUGUAAAGCUCUUUUGUGCGGGAAGAUAA
rnacentral:rRNA from 1 species